ACAAGGACUAAACAUUUUCAGUAACUUGGUCACUUAACUUGGUCCAGGUAUAUGCUCACUCUGUGCAUUAAUGUUUUUACUGACUGUCAUAUUUAAAUGUACUAUUUUUUCUAAUGUGGAAUUUUUAUUAUAAUGUGUAUGUUAUUGUCAUUUUAUACUUUUGAUAUUAAUGAAGAAAUUGUGGCAUUGAAUGUUUACCGUUUAUAUGUAUGUUAACUGCCCUGAGUCCCAUUGGGGAGAGAGAGUGGUCUAGAAAUAAAGUUUCCUCUCCUAGGGGUGAAAAUUGAAAGUUCUGUUUUUCUUUUUUUCCCUCUUACUAUUUUUAGUGAAUGUUUUUGUUGAGGAUGUAAGUUUUUCUUGUUCUCUUGCAGAAAAGAGUAAACAUGAUUUUGGUGAUGGGUUUCUUAGCAGCAAGUUCACAUUUCACCACUGGAACAUCAGUGAUGGGUGACAGUAUACAGGAAGAGAAAAUAGAGACUGGAGACUACCCACCAUUAUACAUCAUUCUGACAACAAAGAUGGAAACACCUUAAGAGCUCAUGAGUUCAAGCGAUUUCCCCAUCCCAUGACAAAGAAAAUGCUGAUGAUGUGCCUGGAGACAAAUGCAGCCAUUUUCAAAUUGACUACAAAGAAAACGGGAAACACACCAUUUUCCAGUGGGAUUCCAAUGGGAUUUUCAUGAGUUUGAAUUUUAAAAUGUGCAUGAUUUCACCAUGGGAUACGGUCCCAAGUCUUCCAUUAGCUUCCAACCAUGUAUCUGCAUUGUAGAAUUAAUUCAGUUUGACACUGUAUUGCAAUUCCUCAAUAACAAAGAAAUCUCAGAGUCUUUAGCUUUCUUUGUCAAGGAGAGAUGGUGCCUCACCAAAUUAUAAAUUUAAUGAGUUCAUAGUAUCAAGCCAUGCCAAUUAAAGGGGUGUCAAACUGGA